GUGUGUCAAACAGUCAGGCACAACGCUCCCCCAGCAGAGCCCCCGGCCGGGCUGGGUGUGCAGUGCGGUGUGGGGGGCGCGCGCGUUGCGCGGGUCCUCCCUCGGGCCGCCAGCCGGCAUCCCUGCGCGCGCUUGCGCGCCGCGUCUCGAGCCUCAGGACCACGAACUCAGUGCCCCCCUCCUUCCCCGUGCCCCCUCCCCUCGGGGGCCGCGGGGGGCGCCGGGGCUGGCGGGGCCCCAGGAGUAUGUGAGGUCCUGCUCUGGCCCGCAGAAUGGUUCCGGGUUUAGAGUUCACAGGUCAGAGUUGACUCCCUGAAAAGUGCAGCUGGUUUGAAAUGCAAGAUGGCGGCGGCAGCGGGGCCGUGAGGAGAGCCGAGCCCGCGGCGGCGGCGGCGGCUACGGCGGGGGACCAGAGCACCGAGGCGGCAGCGGCCCCUCCAGGAAAAGGUGCAUGGCUAAUUUGUCGUUUGUAGUUAGUAAUGGCUUGAGCUAAACUCCUCUAACUGGAAGGCAUUCCCUGCUUCUUCGAAGGAUAGAGUACUGGAGAAAAUGUGGCAAGUGAUUGGAUGUUUGCUUCAGAAGCUUCAGCAACUCAGCUUUGCAGCUACCAACUACAAGCUCUUUUCUUGAUUGCACUAUGAAAAAGUUGCAAAUGGGAUGGACUUAUAGAACCAAAAGCCAUUUUUUUCAAAUGAAGAUAACUGAAGGAGUUUGAUCUUCAUUGCCUUCUAAUCACAGUUGAGAUUUCCCCACAGAAACAGAAUGGCAAGCAAAAGAAAAUCAACAACACCUUGCAUGGUCCUUGCUAGUGAACAGGAUCCGGACCUAGAAUUGAUAUCAGACUUGGAUGAAGGUCCGCCUGUACUUACACCAAUAGAAAAUGCAGCAGCAGAAAGUAUCUCAAGUGAUGAAGAUGUUCAAGAACUUGUAGAUUCUGACAAUCAACAAAAUAAAAAAGUUGAAGGUGGCUAUGAAUGUAAAUAUUGUACUUUUCAAACGCCAGAUCUUAACAUGUUUACCUUUCAUGUAGAUUCAGAACAUCCCAAUAUAGUGUUAAAUUCAUCCUAUGUUUGUGUUGAAUGCAAUUUUCUUACCAAAAGAUAUGAUGCGCUUUCUGAGCAUAAUUUGAAAUAUCAUCCUGGAGAAGAGAAUUUUAAGCUGACUAUGGUAAAACGAAAUAAUCAGACAAUCUUUGAGCAAACAAUUAAUGAUCUGACUUUUGAUGGUAGUUUUGUAAAAGAAGAUAAUUCAGAUCAGGUAGAAUCUAUAGAAGCUCCCUCAUCAGGGAUUUCUAUCAGCAAAACUCCAAUAAUGAAAAUGAUGAAAAAUAAAGUAGAGAAUAAACGGAUUGCAGUUUUCCAUAACUCUGAAGACAUUCCAGAAGAGAAAGAGAACGAAACUAAAUCAGGUCAUGAAGAAGUAGUAAAAAAUCCAACUUCAUCAGCAUCUGAGUCUAAUACAAGUACUUCUGUUGUAAAUAGUAUACAUCCAAAUACCACAAAUACAGUAGUUACCCCAGCAGCAGUUCUUCAGCCUGGGCUAGCACAGGUGAUAACAGCAGCUAUGUCAGCUCAGCAGAAUUCUAACUUGAUUCCUAAAGUUUUAAUCCCUCUUAACAGCAUUCCCACCUAUAAUGCUGCUUUGGAUAACAAUCCCCUUUUGCUCAACACCUACAACAAAUUCCCUUACCCAACAAUGUCUGAAAUUACAGUUCUAUCUGCUCAAGCAAAAUAUACAGAGGAACAGAUCAAGAUAUGGUUUUCAGCCCAACGCCUGAAACAUGGUGUUAGUUGGACUCCAGAAGAAGUAGAGGAGGCAAGGAGAAAACAAUUCAAUGGCACAGUACAUACUGUACCACAAACAAUAACAGUGAUUCCUACACACAUUUCAGCAGCUAGUAAUGGUUUACCUUCCAUUUUACAGACAUGCCAAAUAGUUGGUCAGCCAGGUCUGGUCCUUACACAAGUAGCUGGCACUAACCAAUUGCCAGUAACAACACCUAUAGCUUUGACAGUUGCAGGAGUUCCAAAUCAAACUCAUAUGCAGAAAAGUCAGGUGCACAGUGCUCAGGCUAUUGCAGAAACAAAGCCAGUAGCUGCAACUCCAGCCCCAGCCCCAGCCCCAGCGCCAGCUCCAGCGCCAGUGCCAGCAUCAGCCCUAGCUCCAACCUCAGCCCCAGCCCCAGCCCCAACUCCAACUCCUCAGUUAAUCAAGCAUGAAACUGCAUUGGUGAAUCCUGAUUCAUUUGGUAUCCGGGCAAAAAAGACAAAGGAACAGCUGGCAGAAUUAAAAGUUAGCUACCUUAAAAAUCAGUUUCCUCAUGACUCAGAGGUAAUCAGGCUUAUGAAAAUAACAGGCCUGACUAAAGGCGAGAUCAAAAAGUGGUUUAGUGACACAAGGUAUAAUCAGAGAAAUUCCAAGAGUAAUCAGUGUGUCCAUCUCAACAGUGAAGCUUGUACCCCUAUUGUUAUUGAUUCUAGUGACGAGACUGCAGAAUCCCCGACAGUUGUUGUUCCACAGACUAAGCAGCUGGGGAAUUCUUUCCCUGACUUUACUCCACAAAAAUUUAAAGAGAAAACUUCAGAGCAGUUGCGCAUCCUCCAAGCAAGUUUCCUCAAUAAUCCUGUCCUUACUGAUGAAGAAUUGAACAGGUUAAGAGCACAAACCAAACUUACCAGGAGAGAAAUUGAUGCCUGGUUUACAGACAGAAAGAAAUCCAAAGCUUCAAAGGAAGAGAAAACAGAAAUAGAUGAAAGCAAUGCAGGCAGUUCCAAAGAAGAAGCUGGAGAAACUUCUCCUCAGGAAGAAUGUGCAGCACCUAAGUCAGUGACUACCACAAACAAAGUGUGUAAAAAAUCACCAGAGCAGUUGCACAUACUUAAAAGUGCAUUUGUUCGAACACAGUGGCCAUCACCAGAAGAAUAUGACAAGUUGGCUGAGGAAAGUGGGCUUGCUAGAACAGAUAUUGUUAGUUGGUUUGGAGAUACACGAUAUGCUUGGAAAAAUGGGAAUUUAAAAUGGUACUAUUACUAUCAGAGUGCCAGUUCAAAUAGUAUGAAUGGACAGGCUUCCUUUAGGAGAAGGGGGAGAGGAAGACCAAAGGGAAGAGGAAGGGGAAGACCUCGUGGGAGGCCUAGAGGAAGCAAAAGGAUAAACAACUGGGACCGUGGACCAUCACUCAUAAAAUUUAAAACUGGAACUGCAAUACUUAAGGAUUAUUAUAUGAAGCACAAAUUUCUUAAUGAGCAAGACCUUGAUGAACUUGUUGCCAAAUCACAUAUGGGUUAUGAGCAGGUCAGAGAGUGGUUUGCAGAAAGACAAAGAAGAUCUGAGUUAGGAAUAGAGCUGUUUGAGGAGAAUGAAGAUGAUGAUGAGAUAAUAGAUGAUCAGGAAGAGGAUGAUGAAGAAACAGAUGACAGUGACACCUGGGAACCCCCACGGCAUGUUAAGCGGAAACUCUCUAAGUCAGAUGAUUAAAAUGAAAGAAUUCAAAAACGAAAACUAAAAAGAAGGGGAAAAGUAUAUCCGAAGGAAAGAAUAACUACAGGGGUGAGGAUUGCUCAGUUUUAGGAAACUAGUCUCAUGUUUUUCCUUUAUAGUUACCUACAGUGGUGAAGGGGACUCAAUUCUUGAAAUCAAGAUAUCUGAUUUACUGUGAAUGGGCCUAAUCUUUUAUGAAACUCAGAAUAUUUUUGGACAUACACACAUUCUCAUAACAUAGGAUUGAAUACUCGAAAGGAAUGGAACUUAGUGUUGUGCCAAAGUUAAACUACUGCAGUUGGCGGAAGUUCUGCAUUGUAAAUAGAACACUGAUUAAAAGACAACUUGUAAAAAUUCAGAUUUUAAUACAUUUUUAUUCUGAUGCAAGAUGGAAACGUUCUGUUUCUUAGGUUUUUUUGAGGGAAUUAAGUGACCACUAGAUUUUGUCCUCUUAUAAUUUUGUCCAGCUUAAUACUGUAUGUUCUAGUAAGAUGGGCUUUAUUGCCUGUAUUCUUUGAUAUGUGAUUAAGCUUAUAGCUUUGAGUGACCAAACAUUUUACAGAGUAAAAGUUCUUAGAAACAGGUUUAAAAAAAAAAAGAAAAAACUGAUUUAUUUCUGUGUCUUAUUCAUCAGGCCCUGCACUAAUUUUGAAAGUUGUGCACGUGCUUGUACAACUUACACAUAAAUGAAAAUGCAGCAUAUUUAUACAUUUUGGAACCCCAAGCCACAGGGCCUGUGUCAUUGGCUUUUUCAAGUUGAAGACAUCAUUGGAUGCUGCUACGAAUAUCUGUAAUACUCCUGUUUCUACUUUAAUAAAAGGCUGAUUUUGCUUUUCAUUAAACUGAAGAAAAUGUACUGAAUAAGGGAAAAAGCCGGCAUAAGAAUUUACAGAGAGAAUCUCUGAAAUAAACUUUGUACCAAAAAUGUGAAAAAGAAUUAUGUAGUAAAUAUAUGCUUAAUGAGUGUUUUUUAACAAUAAUGUAAAAUAAUGUACAGAUAAUGCAUCAGUCCAGAAUUUUCUAGAAUUCUCAGUCAAGUUCUGCCUUCUAUAACAAUUUCAGUGGCUAUAGAAAAAAUUCCUAAACUAAUAAGUAUCAUUAGCCAUUUAAAAGCUAGCUUUUGCUUGCAAAUUAUUGUAGUAUUAACAACUAUUUUGCCAUAGUUCAUAUUAACUUAUUUGUAAAGACUGGUGCUUUUCAUUCCUAUUUGAGGGACACUUUUGUUUGUGACUAUAGGACCAUUUUUUAAAAAUAUGCUGUUUUCAUGGAAGAAGAGUUUAGUUGAGUAUUUUGUUCUUAAAAUGCUUUUCUGAGUGACCAGAUCUAGUGGGAUUGCCUAGUUUGUUUCACCUAAUUUAAUGAAUGAUGAAUAUUAAGCUUUUAAUUUUUACCUAAACACUUGUCAACUAAGAGAAAGUUAUGGAAGAGCCUUGGAUAUGCAUGCUGCUUUCAUUUUUAUAAAUGGUUAUUUUUUAUUUUUUAAAUAUGGCUUUAUAAGUAUUUCCAAAAUACUGCAAUUUAUCUGAUCUAUUCACUACAGACUUCUGGCUUUGUGGAUGGCUUUUUUCAUACUACUGUUAACUUUUAUUUUUACGGUGUAAAGAUUGCAGCAAUUUAAUGCACUAUUUUUUUUUCACUUUUUAAUAACUUCAUAGAGCACUCUGUAAACUGUAAUAAUUAAAUUGCUCCUUUUUUAACCUUU